GUAAGGAAUAUUGGUCAAUGGACGCAAGUCUGAACCAGCCAUGCCGCGUGGAGGAUUAAGGCCCUCUGGGUUGUAAACUCCUUUUAUCUGGGAAGAAAUGUACUUUUUCUUGAGUACUUGACGGUACCAGAGGAAUAAGCACCGGCUAACUCCGUACCAGCAGCCGCGGUAACACGGAGGGUGCAAGCGUUAUCCGGAUUCACUGGGUUUAAAGGGUGCGUAGGUGGGCAGGUAAGUCAGUGGUGAAAUCUCCGGGCUUAACCCGGAAACUGCCGUUGAUACUAUUUGUCUUGAAUUAUCUGGAGGUAAGCGGAAUAUGUCAUGUAGCGGUGAAAUGCUUAGAUAUGACAUAGAACACCAAUUGCGAAGGCAGCUUACUACAUAUAAAUUGACGCUGAGGCACGAAAGCGUGGGGAUCAAACA
rnacentral:rRNA from 1 species